AAAAAGUCAAACCCUGAAUUUCCGUGUCCAACUUUGACUGUCCAUUUUAUAUAAAAAUUUUUUAUAAUUCGUAUUUUCAUUGUUGUUAGAUGAUAAAACAUGAUUAAUAUUUUAUGCGUGACUUGUCUUUUUAAUUUUUUUAUAAUUUUUUCAAAUAAGACGGACGGUCAAACGUUAGACACGGAAACU
rnacentral:pre_miRNA from 1 species